rnacentral:rRNA from 1 species
AACGAACGCUGGCGGCAGGCCUAACACAUGCAAGUCGAGCGGGGUGAUGGUGCUUGCACUAUCACUUAGCGGCGGACGGGUGAGUAAUGCUUAGGAAUCUGCCUAUUAGUGGGGGACAACAUCUCGAAAGGGAUGCUAAUACCGCAUACGUCCUACGGGAGAAAGCAGGGGAUCACUUGUGACCUUGCGCUAAUAGAUGAGCCUAAGUCGGAUUAGCUAGUUGGUGGGGUAAAGGCCUACCAAGGCGACGAUCUGUAGCGGGUCUGAGAGGAUGAUCCGCCACACUGGGACUGAGACACGGCCCAGACUCCUACGGGAGGCAGCAGUGGGGAAUAUUGGACAAUGGGGGGAACCCUGAUCCAGCCAUGCCGCGUGUGUGAAGAAGGCCUUAUAGUUGUAAAGCACUUUAAGCGAGGAGGAGGCUCUUUUGGUUAAUACCCAAGAUGAGUGGACGUUACUCGCAGAAUAAGCACCGGCUAACCCUGUGCCAGCCGCCGCGGUAA